rnacentral:rRNA from 1 species
CGUAAAGACGCAUGCAGGUGGUUUGUUAAGUCAGAUGUGAAAACCCGGGGACGUCAACCUCGGAAUAGCAUUUGAAACUAGGCAGACUAGAGUACUGUAGAGGGGGGUAGGAAUUUCAGGUGUAGCGGUGAAAUGCGUAGAGAUCUGAAGGAAUACCGGUGGCGAAGGCGGCCCCCCUCGGACAGAUACUGACACUCAGAUGCGAAAGCGUGGGGAGCAAACAGGAUUAGAUACCCUGGUAG